rnacentral:rRNA from 1 species
GACAGAGGCCUCAAGCGUUAGGCGGAAUCACUGGGCUUAAAGCGUGUGUAGGCGGAUCGUUAAGUGUCUUGUGAAUCCCACGGCUCACCCGUGGAACUGCUGGGCAUACUGCGAUCUUGGGCCAACUAGGGGCAACUGGAACAAGCGGUGGAGCGGUGAAAUGCGUAGAUAUCGCUUGGAACGCCGAAGGUGAAAACAGGUUGCUGGGGUUGUGCCGACGCUGAGACACGAAGCCAGGGGAGCAAACGGG